ACUGGAUCCACAAAAGCAAAACGUGUAGCUGCCAAAGAACUGCUGUUAUCUCUGGCAUGGCUGGGUCACUGGGACAUUCCACAGAAACAAAAAUGUAUUUCCUGUGUAGACCCAAUUAAAAUAUCUGCUGGAAAAUGUUUCAUGUGCUCUUAAGACCUGAAGCCAAAGCUACCCAACUGGCUUGUAAGGAAUAAGAUUACUUCCCAGGGGUUGAUGGAAAGCACUGAGCACCCUCUGCUGCACUCAUUAAAAUUAGGCUCAGUAGCAGCACCUGACCUUGUAAAUACCAGACAGAAGGGUGCUGUGCCCUCCCAGCAAGAGGAAGGGUGCCUCCCGCUGCCAGGAGCUCAGAUAACAUUGGAGGGCACUGCAGGAUUCAGCCCAGGCUUCCAUCUGCAGCAGAAGCCACUGUCCUCUCCCGAUUCACAUGCAAGGUUUGGAGAAGACAGCACAAUCUCUCUGUUGUAAUAGGUCAGCUAUACCUUUCCUCCUGGUCUGACCAAGUUCCCUCUCCACAGCUGGGUCAGCUUUACUACAAAGGGAGGAGGACUUUGCUGCCUAUGCAUGGGUCUCUGGGGACAGAUGGAGGCUGUGGGUUACUCACUAUCCAGGAUCUGGCUGCUUUUCUUGCUAUUCUGUCUGGGACAAGGGAGGCAGGUGGCUCCCCCAGGUUUUGUAGAGAGCAGUUGCCGCUCCAGGAUUUUUUGGAUGAAACUGAAUAAACUCUUGCUCCAGGGAAAGU